CAGAGCCACAAUAGGCCAUGCUGAAUAGAAUGAAGAGUAUUGACGAAAUGGAGUGGUGACUCAUCAAGGCCACUGACAUGUGCGCAUUUGCCCAGGAAAUGGACACGUUAAACAUGUGAGUCACGCGUUGAAGAAAAACUCAGAAUUAAAGUUCAAAUGUGAUUCUCUCUCCAUAGGACUCAGCUUCUCUCCGUCGCGUCGGAAUUCGUCACGGGGGUGGCGGAGUCUAAACUACCAAAACCAAACGUCAAUCUCCUCGUUUCCACACCCUGGUCCUAAAUCCACCCUCAAUUUCCCCCCAAUUAUGAAUGAAUCAACUAAACCGAAGUCAUUUCUUUUCUGAACCCUAAAUGCUAAAACACGAAUUAAAUGAUGCUCAUGAUCUAAAGAUCAAACCAUAGGGCUUUGGCUCCCAAGAUGAGGCACUACAUUGUUGAUAUCUGUAGAUUGGAGAAAAAAAGUGGAAAAGAAUUACCUACUGGAGCAACUCCGGUGGUUCUUCGUCCGUGAAAAGAAGGUUCAGCAGAUGCAAUAUGGGAGCCAUUUGAUACUACAUCUGUCUCAUAAAAAAUGUCUUAUUUGAACAAUUCAUGGUUCUUAAGGAAAUGAUUGGAUAUGUUGGUUUUGAUGAUAAAUUAAGACCAUUUACUAGAAUAUCCCUAUUAAUUGUAGUUAAAAGAGUGGUUGAAUAAAGUGAAAGUUAAUAAAUAGGGGUAUGAUAGUGGAAAAAUAAUAAUAAAUGAUACAUUGAUAUUAUAAAAGGACAAUUAUUUUGAGACAAAGAAAAAGUGCAAAUGAGACAAUUUUUAUGAGACGGAGGGAGUAACUCGGUUGAGAUGUCCAAGUCACUCCAUCAUGUGAAGAGAUUAGAUGCAAAUGGCCCAAGCGGUUCAGUAGUUGCCCCUCUCGGGCUUUCCAACGAUUCAAUAGUGCUUCACGAAAUAUAUUAUUUAAAAUAUUGCCAAACAUAUUAUGUGUAUUCAAUUUCCGUCUCUUAGGAACUCUCGCUUUAAGUGAAUGUAAUGAUGACGACAAUGGUUUGCAAAUCUAAAUGAGCAAGAUGAUCUCAAUCUUCAAGCAUAGGCAUCUUGGAAAACACAUCAUAACCUUUGAAAGCCUUGGAGCAGCAUUUCUGACUUUCCAUUGGUUGGAAUUGAAUUGGCUUUGGGAUAUGAACUCGACAUGUUGUAAUUUUUAUAAUUUGAAAUUGAAAUAUGAAUGUUGGUUUGUUGUAUUUGAAUUUGUGAAUGAAAAUGUGAAAUCGAAUGAAAUAAUUUGAAUUGAAGAUGUUGUAUGGUUUGAAUGAAAAAUGGAGGGAAUGGAAUUUGGAAGUUGAAUUAA